rnacentral:lncRNA from 1 species
UCCACUUUCCAUUUGCCUUAAAAGUACUAUUCCUUCCCCACAAUCAUGGGAAAUUGCUUUUGUCAUCCAUAAUAAUAUUUCAGGUUGGCCUUGAACAGCUUGGCAAAACUCUCUUCACCCAUAGGGAAGCAAAUAGAACAGCCUACUACUUAAGGCCAGUCGUUGCCAAGCAUCCGCCAGCCAGCCGAUACAUCAGUCUGCUGAACAUAAAAUUCCGUCGUCAAGGAGUUUAGAAAUUCGAACUUGAACUUAAGAUAUCCAUCCGAAUUCUAUAGAGCUCUCCCUUCAAAUUAAAAAUUUAAUGGUAAAAAGUUUCGUACUUAGCUAAGAUGGUAAAAUUUUAUCGUUUAAUUGUAUUUCUAAUUCUCUUUUUCUUUUUUCGUUUUUUCUUAAUCUUUGAUGCAUCUCAUUGUCUGGUUUCUUCUUCUUGAUGAAAGAACCUUUAAGAAAAAAGAAAAAGAAAAACACUUCUACUUGUCAAUGGCAUCCCAAAACUCACAUUCCCAAACUUUGUCAGCUUGGGUAUGAAAUUAUUGUACUUGUGUGUGAUUCUUAACUGACUAUGAAGACUGAACAAUUACCACCACAUCAAUAUAUUUGUCUUGUUCACUCACAUUUUCAACCAAAACUCAUGAAAUUAACCUUGGCUCUUGAUGUAACGAAAAUAACAGGACCCAUCUAACUCACAAGUGCAUGAUGCAAUGAUAAGUGCACUAACCACCAGAUUUAGAACACAUACCAAUCACCAAAUCUAGGCAGUACCCAAUGGACGGUUCUUAUCGUUUGAUCAGAAGCCCCAUCAUGAUGUGCCUUCACUACCCAACUACUCAGGCAAGUAAUGCAGCAUGGAUGCAUAUCAUUAUCAAAAAGAAAGGGGGCAAACAAAAAAAAGAAAAGAAAAGACUAUAAACAAGUUGAUGCAUAUGAUAUGUACUAUGAAUUUAAAUUUAAAGCAACAAUAGACCGUCAAAGAUUUUUGGAUAGGACCCACUUAUAUAGUUGGUGAUUAGGGCAACAUUAAUUAAGCAAAUGAAAGUGACAUUAUAGGCAAUUUGUGAGUAUCAUCAGUCAAUUAACUUGGGCAAUCUCCAUGGAUACUUCCAAGCACUGAAAGGUGAUGGGUUUUUCUUUAUUUUGAUGUUGGACGGAUGUUGUAAGAAAUGAUUCAUUAUUUAAGGGAGUAAAUGUUUCUUGGCCGCACAUGUGUCCAUAUAGAAUUAGCUAAUGGAAAUUCUAACAUUUUAUUUUUAUAAUAAUAUUUGUUUCUUAUUUUCUAUUUUUCUAAAUAUAUUUUUUUUCUUUUCAUAAUACGAAAUGAAUUCUUAGACUCUUUUAGAGUAUCUAAAAAUUGUUCGCUUCGAUAAAAGUAUCUAUAAAAUAGAACAAAAAUUAAUAUAAUAUUAAUUCUCACGAUUUUAUUAUAGUAUUUAAGUCAUGCUAUUUUAUAAUGAAUAAAAAAGAAGAGUCUGUCAUAAAAGAAUAUUAAAAUAUGGUAAUUUUGGUGAAAUUUUCAUAUUAUUACUCUUGAUUAUAACAUUAAGCUAGGCUUUAAUUAAUAAUAAUAAGAAGAAGAAGACGAAGAAAGAAGAAGAAAUCAAAUCUUCCAUCAAAAUGGAUUAAAGUAUAUUGUAAUUGCACAAUAAUUGAGUUAACAUUUUAGUAUAAAAAUCAACAAGGUAUCCAUACCGACAAGUUUUCCUGUGAAAGAUGGUGUGCAUAGUCUGAGCAACUAGCUCCAAUUGCUCCAAACCCAAUUUUGAAAAGAUGGAAAGGAAUGAGUAUGGGACCCGACCACCAUAACCAUGGACAUGAAUUGGUGAAAGAGAAGAAGCAGAAGGCCAUAAAAGAAAAUAUGAGGCAUAUUUGUUAUGGUCCCAGUGGCAGUGACAAUUGAUAAGAAAUAGGUAGCACCAGAAAAUCGUACAAAAUCAACAUGUAAUACAAACAAUAUGCUAAGUGACAAACUCUUCACGUGGCUUGCUACCCAAUUAUGGACGCUUCAAAUCUCUUUAGUGUUUAUGUGGGAUCAUCGUCUCUUCUUCUUCUUCUUGUCCAUGUUUACUGGACUGAAGAAAUUCCAACAUGGUUUUUGGAAUGAAUAUAUAAAAGAAUUUUGGUGAUACCAACAUCCACCUCUUGUACAUAUUGUUCAUUUAUUUCGUUGUCA